GAGGCUGCGGGGGGCGCGAGCCCGGGUCGGCGUGCGCGCGCGCGAGGGUGAGCGCCCGGGCGGCCGGGAGCGCGCGUUAGGGAGUCUGCGGGCAUCUCGGCGCGGGGAACGGGGAGCAGGAGGCAGGAGCGCGGAGCGCAGGACCCUCCCCCGCGCGCACGCACACACACGCGCACACGCACGCGCGCACACACACGCACGCGCGCACGCACACGCCCUCUGCGCCUCGCUCUUCGCUGCUGCCGCCGCCGCGGAGCUGAGCCCUGCCCAGGGGGCACCCGAGCCGGAGCGGGAGCGCGAGCGGAGCCGAGCCCGGGGAUGCGGCCCCGCGGCGGAGCCGCGCGCGGACUGCGCGCCCCGGACGGCCCCUGCGCCCACAGACUCUGAGUGUCCAGUGCCCGCAGGCAGAGGGGGCAACUGAGUCAAGCCCAGGCUGACACUCCCAGCCCAGUUAUACUCCCCGAACACCUCCCUGGCCUGAGAGUCCAGGCUGUGUGGCUGGUGUCUUCCUACAUGGCCUGAUGUGAAGGGGCUGAAGAUCAGGCCACCUGAGCAGAGGAGAGGCAGCUGGCAUGGAGAGGCCCGAAGCCUCGGCUCUUCCUCUAGGAAGCCCUCUGGGGACCAGCUGGAGGUGGCAUCUGCAUCUUCCCCGUUGCCUGGCCCGUCUCUGGCUCUGGGCUUUCUUUGGGCUGGAUUCCACAAGGGCGGAGUUGGCCGGAGUAUUGUGAACACUUGCCAGGCCCUGGCAUAUAGUGUCCACUGAAGAGCCCCAGAGCCCGCGUGGCCCCGAGAGGGGUCCCACGGCCAUGUCCUGGCUGCCUUGAGUCUGUGGGGCGACCCACCUCCUGCCUGUAUCUCGGGGCUGUGGCCCUGUCCAGCCCCGGACCUGCUCCCAAGCCUGCUCCUCACCCCCGCCGGGGCUAAAGGGACUCCUCAAGCUUUGGGACUCAGCGGGGCACAGUAGCGGUCACGGAACUGGCAUUGACUCCCCGGCCACUCUCAGCUCCUGCUGACCCAAGGGGCUUCUCUGUAGGACAAGGUGAUGGUGUGCCAGGCCCUGGGCUGGUAAUGCCCCUCAAAGGGAAGCAUUUCUAUUUCAUGGAAGAGGAAACAACCCAUGCGGAGACUUGCUGAGUUCCUGUCGGCCUGAGGUGGGCUAUGGGGGGGCAUCUCCCCGGUCCUGCCUGCCUUGGACCUGCUCCCUGCUCUUCCACGGGGUGGACUUGCCCUGGAGGCAGGGGCCCUCCCCUUCUGACUCUGCCCGCCGGGGGGGGGACACAGCCUGGGCUGUCCUGGGAGUCUGAGGGCUCGGGCUUGGGCCAGUCAGACGGGCACCCAGGGCCUCUGGCUGCAGCUGGCAUCCUGGGAGUGGGGGAAGAAAGGAGGGCCCUGGCUGGGUGGGGUCUCGCCGUGAGAAGGGCAGCCUCUGCUUCCUUCAUCCCCUCUCUGCCCUCUCCAGACCCCAGCCCUGUGGAUUCCAACUCCCCAGCCCCAUUUUCCCCUCCUUCCAUGGCACAGCCCUUUCUGAAUAACCAGGCCUAGAGAAACCACCCCGCCAGCCACCACCACCCACAUGGGAAAUUGAAGCCCCGAAAGGGGUGGGCACUGACUCAAGAUCAUGUGCUCUGUCUCUCCUGUCUUUAAGGUGAAGGGCCUGAAGUCACUUAUCUUGAAUUUAAACACAAGCGUUGGGUUUGAAAACUCUCCCUGGGUGGGGAGGCCUCGGGGGUGGGGUGGGUGCCUGUGGCCACACAAGUCCACCCUACACAGGAAGGCGCCCUGGGAGCUGCGUGCCUCCCUCGCCACGUGCACCCCCACCCCCUGGGCUCCCAGUGCUGGGAGCCACUGUCUCAUUCAAUCCUCUGAACCGUCUGGGAAGCUGAGUCAUUUUCUGUAGAUGAGGGGACCAAGUCGGGGACUCGCCACCAUCACAGUCACGUGCUCAGGUGGAGCUUGCUGGACAAGCUCAAAUCCCGGCCCGGCCACUGGCUGUGAUCGCCCCCUACCUACCUGCAGGCAGCACCCCCCCCAGCUCUCCCCAAGACCCCCAGCCCUGCAUGCCUCCUCCCCUACCCAGGGCACUUCCCUGCUUGUUCUGCUCUGCAGCCAACACCGAUGACUCUCCCCUGUGCUCCCCGCCCUUGCCCACCUCCAGGCCCUUGUUCAAGCCGUUCCAGCCCCUGGAGUUCUCCCCAACUCCGUCUGCCCAAGCCCCCCUCAUCUUUCUAGGCUGGGCUCAGAUGCCGCCUGCUUCCUACAGACGCCCUGUCUGCCCUCAGCCUCUUCAGAAACCGGGCUCCUCUGAGCGCCGCCCCCACAGCUCUUUGCCUGCCUGCCUCUGAGGCUCCUGGCCCCCCGUAUCUGACUCUGUGGCUGUGUGGAAGGCAAGGAAGGCUGCUCACCUCUAGCUUCCCAGGCCAGUAACCCCCAGGGCCUGGCACACAGUAGGUGUGCAGGAGAUAGCUGGUCCUCACCUUGAGAGGGGCUGCACCUCCACAAUCCCUUUCCUCAGCAGCCCCCCAUCUACUCCAGCCCCUGGAGGAGGCCAGCCUCACUGCCCGCUAGCCCUUACUGAGCUCUGACUGGUAGGGUAGGCACUGGCCUCUGGCACCAGCAGGCCUCCCUGUGCCCACUCCCGACCUGCCCAGUUUCUAGGGGCAGAAACAAGGCAGAGCCUGCCCUUGGAGGCUCAUGGGCAAGCCUCAGGGCCUGGAGGUACAGGGACUGGUGUAGGUCAGUGCUGGCCGAGGGCUGGAUGGGCACUCUGCCUGGCAACCCUUACUGGCUCUGCUGAUUACUGGCUGUGUGAGUUUGAGCAAGUGAUGUAACCUCUGCAUGCCUCAGUUUCCUCAUCUGUUAAGUGAGGUGGUGACAAACGUACCUAGGGGUGCAAUGGGGAUGAAAUGAGUCACUACAGCACACAGCGCACAGCACAGCCCCAGCACAAACCUACAGGGGGUUCCCCCUGAGUGCUGGCUGUCACCGUCAUCAUGGGAGGGAGCACGAAGGCUGAGUGUGCUGGGGCCCUCAGAGAGAGUUUCCAGAAGGUGCUGACACUUGAGCAGCAAUUUGAAAGAUGAGGCACAGAAGGCAGGAAGACCACUCCAGGAAGGGAACUGCACAAAAACCCAGAGGCAGUUUUGGGGGGCAUGCAUGGCAGCUGGGUGUGUGAGAACAGGUGCAGGGAGACCCCAGGCUGGUGUCUCACAAGGGCUGUGUCCUGUGUCCUGAGGGACCUUGCAUGCCGCAUUGAGGAGGAUGGGCUUUGUCCUGCAGCCUGUGAGGGGCCAUGGAAUGGGGCUUUUUUUUUUAACCAUGAAAGUAAUAUUUGCUCAUGCAAAAACAUGGAAACAACAUAGAUAUGUGUCCUGUUAAGUAUGAAAGGUCCUUCUUUGCCCUUUUCUGCCAAGGUUCCACCUCCGGUAUGCCUCCUUACAGAAGUUUUGCUGUACCUUAAAAACAUAUUCAUUGUAUGUUACUUAAAAAAAAUAAAGAAAUGGA